ACCCUUCCCCCACGCAUCAGCCUCAACAGAGUUGCUGCUCUCUCUGCCAUUUGAACUCAAAUCCUAUCUCGGAAAUUGAUGGGUGAUGCUGCCCUUGACAACACAGUGUCAGCUUAACUCAGUGUCCAGCUGGUUCUGUGCACAUUAUCAUAAUGCGCUGCCUGGGCGGGCGCUGCCUGGGCGGACUCUGCUCGAUGCUUGCUCUUGCUUCGUGUCCUUCUCUGCCUUCUGACAUACAGAGAUUGCUUGUUUAAAAAUAAAAAUAGAGACAAUAUCUUAGGAGAGGUUUUGAUUUUUAGAAUUUCUCUAGAACAGAAACUCUACCUUAAUGGCAAAAUGAACCUAAAAAGCUUUCUUUCAACC
rnacentral:lncRNA from 1 species